AAUGAACGCUGGCGGCGUGCCUAACACAUGCAAGUCGAGCGCGAACACGGCUUCGGCCGUUAGUAGAGCGGCGGACGGGUGAGUAACACGUGGAUAACCUGCCUGGGAGUGGGGGACAACUUGGGGAAACUCGAGCUAAUACCGCAUCCGCUCCCGCCACGAUGGUGGCGUGAGGAAAGGUGGCUCUUCGGAGCUGCCGCUCCCAGAGGGGUCCGCGCCUGAUUAGCUGGUUGGUGGGGUAACGGCCUACCAAGGCGACGAUCAGUAGCCGGCCUGAGAGGGUGAUCGGCCACACUGGAACUGAGACACGGUCCAGACUCCUACGGGAGGCAGCAGUGGGGAAUAUUGGACAAUGGGCGAAAGCCUGAUCCAGCAACGCCGCGUGGAGAAUGAAGGCCUUCGGGUUGUAAACUCCUGUCAGGUGGGACGAAAAGACUUCGGUCAACACCCGGGGUCCAUGACGGUACCAUCAGAGGAAGCCCCGGCUAACUCCGUG
rnacentral:rRNA from 1 species